rnacentral:lncRNA from 1 species
AAAAGUACGUGGAUAGUGUGUCAUUUAUUUUAGAUACGAGAUGCAUCGUUUUGCCUCGUCGGUUUCAGUCAGCGCAUACAGGGGGAUAGAACAUUGUAUGUAGGUAAUUCAUUGUUCAUUAUUUAUUACGGGUAUUAGAAUAAUUUUUUUUUUCAAAGUUUGGAACUAAAUGUGAAAGAUUGCACGGCUAUUUAAUGGAGAAUAUAAUAUAUCACAGAGUUGAUCCAAGAAGUGUG